UUUACGUCUAUUCUUAUCUAAAUUUGAUCCGUCUUACACAUGAAAAAAACACACUUUCAAAAAAGUUCUUUCAAAGAGUUCAAAAGUUUGAAGUGUGUAUUUGAUGUGUUUUUAAGUUCCUCUAUACACAUGAUCAGUCAAUCUUUGAGUCAGUCAUUUAUCAACAUCAUCAUGUUUUCCAGCCAUUGUGGUUCCGUCGAUUCUUGCUGUGUUCUUCACAGUAGUUUUUGAAUGUGUUGGUGCAUCCUUUGGUUUGCCAGCACACACUGUAAGAUGUAAGGGUCGACCUUACCACUGGAAAGAUGUUGUCUGGGGUUAUUGUAUGGCUUUCUUAGUGACCAUCCUUCACCUCAGGUCUUACCAUGUUUAUACUCUGUCUUGUGGCUUUGGCCUCAUUGUGUUUGCCAUAAGAGGAGCAAUUCGCAAAUAUAAUGCUCUGUGGAAAGCAAGGCAUUACUGUGAAUGAAGCAAAAUUAAUGCUCACAAAGAGGUCUCCACUUGUGCAUUCAUGCACAUUUAUCAAGUUUGUGUAGCGCUUUCCACAUACAUAUUGUUUCAAAGCAGUUUUAAAUCAAACCAAAUUGUCAUGUGAAUUUAAUGUGAUCUAAUUUCUGAUUUAAUUUUGUUUUACUAUUUGUUACUUUCUACAUUUCACUUUUUCAUAAAUUGUUUUGAUAAUUGAUUAUUUCAUUGAUUUUUUAAGUUGUAAAUAAAAAAUGUU